CUGCUGGUCCUGCCAUCCGUGCCCACUGACAUCCAUUCUCCCGUUCUUUCUUUCUCAGGGUGUUAGGGACCAGCAUGAGCUCUGGCUAAGCUGGCUAAAGCUCUCACCAACUUCCUUUGGAGCUUAAUGUGCCUGAGUCACUGAGUUCCAGCUGCGGGGGAGUGACUACCUGCCCCUCUCGUGUCACUGCCCUUGUGUGGAAUGAGCAUGAGACCACACCUCUGGCUGAGUCCACCUGUGUCCAUGGGACCCGGAGCCAUCACUUUGGACCUAGAGGUGAAAGAUUUAUGCUGGGGAUGGUGCUACCAAGUCCACCCUGGACGGGCAGAACACACAAGCUGUCUUUGCCUCGGUGUGCUGUGCUCUGUGAAGCUCACGUCAGAAAGAAUGUACCAUUUCACUAAAAACUGCACUACGGUCACUAGAACAGAAGAUUAUUAAAGAAUCAUGACAGAAGCACCAUGGGCUGGCAGGUGCAAGUGAACCACCCAUCUGACUUCAGUCCUGAGUCAUCCCGUUGUACCAACCAGCUGUGUCAUCGUCUGAAGUUAUCUAUUCUUCGGAUAGAACCCCUUGGGCCCCCAGGUGCUGUUCCAUCCCUUAGAAGGCAGCUGCACGCAGCCACGUGGGAGAUGGCAUUGCCUGACAAGACUCCACCAUUAUUCCCUGAGGGCUGAUCUCUUCCGUUUGCCUGAAUGUGGAGUUCUCCAAAUGACACCCUUUCCUGCCCCCUGGGUGAAACAUGUGUAUGGGUUCCCCUGCUUUUCAAGGACUUACUCAGUUACAGAACACGGUGACCUUCCCCAGAUCCAGGUUCACAACCUUCUAACGCUAGUGACAUCCCACCUGCUAUGAGCCUGCAGUGGCUGGGAGGUUUCUCACACCUUGAAGGGGAACAAGAGUCUCCCGGUCUUUCUGUGAAUUAAGGGACCCCCCCCCACUUCCCACUGUUAAAUAUUCUUCUGUGACGUCAUUCCUUGCUGAGUAUGGAAUGACACACCCAUUCUUGGCAGGGUGUGUUCUAAACAUAGAAGACGUUUCAUGGAAAUCAUUAUAGAUCAAAAUAAAAAUUAGUGCACUAAUUGGAUUCUUUCUACU
rnacentral:lncRNA from 13 species